GUUCUCCUAAGAGUUCAUGUACUAAAAUUGGAACAAUACAGAGAUUAGCAUGGCCCCUGCGCAAGGGUGACUCGCAAACUCCAAGAAGGACAGCUGCUUCAC